UACGUAGGGGGCAAGCGUUGUCCGGAUUUAUUGGGCGUAAAGAGCGUGUAGGCGGCUAGAUAGGUCCGUUGUGAAAACUCGAGGCUCAACCUCGAGACGUCGAUGGAAACCAUCUGGCUAGAGUUCGGUAGGGGAGACUGGAAUUCCUGGUGUAGCGGUGAAAUGCGCAGAUAUCAGGAGGAACACCGGUGGCGAAGGCGGGUCUCUGGGCCGAAACUGACGCUGAGGAGCGAAAGCGUGGGGAGCAAACAGG
rnacentral:rRNA from 1 species